UAAAAUAUGUUUUAUUGUCAUUAAUUAUAAAAGAAGGUUUCAAUACAUUAAUCAAUGGAAGAGCUUAGUGGCAUCAAAUAAUGGAGAGAGGCAUGAGGAUAUAAUCAUUGUAGCAGGGAUGAAAGAAGUGAUAUGUGGAGUCUCAUUCUCAAAGCUAAGGAAGGAGUGGGUGCAAAAAGUAUUAAACAAGAAAAGUUAAGAGGAAUAGGGAUGGAGGGAUAUAACAAAGGGAAGCACAAAAUGGAUGAGAUUGACGGAAAAAGAGGGGUUGCAGCCACAAUAUGCAAGGAGUUAUUUUAUUAUUUAAUAUUUUGUCAGGUGUUUUAAGUUUUGUUGAUUGGUAUGAGGAUUACUUUUCGUGUGUCCUAGUUGUUGGGU